ensembl:lncRNA
AUCUCAGAAUAAAUGGAGAGAGUGGAGAGGGUCUCUAUCCAAGGGAUUGGGACCGGGUGACUGGGAGGGCAUCAGACACUUCUCUGAGGUGUGCAUGUGGCCUUCACUCAUGGGAGGGCAUCAGACACUUCUCUGAGGUGUGCAUGGGGCCUCCACUCAUGGGAGGGCAUCAGACACUUCUCUGAGGUGUGUGUGUGGCCUCGACUCACGGGAGGGCAUCAGACACUUCUCUGAGGUGUGUGUGUGGCCUCCACUCAUGGGAGGGCAUCAGACGCUUCUCUGAGGUGUGCAUGUGGCCUCCACUCAUCUCACUUCAGUCUCUCGGUGGACCACUCUCCCCAAGUUGACCCCGU